rnacentral:rRNA from 1 species
AUUGAACGCUGGCGGCAUGCCUUACACAUGCAAGUCGAACGGCAGCACGGGAGCAAUCCUGGUGGCGAGUGGCGAACGGGUGAGUAAUAUAUCGGAACGUGCCCAGUCGUGGGGAUAACGUAGCGAAAGCUACGACUAAUACCGCAUACGGUCUAUGGAUGAAAGCGGGGAUCGCAAGACCUCGCGCGAUUGGAGCGGCCGAUAUCAGAUUAGGUAGUUGGUGAGGUAAAGGCUCACCAAGCCGACGAUCUGUAGCUGGUCUGAGAGGACGACCAGCCACACUGGGACUGAGACACGGCCCAGACUCCUACGGGAGGCAGCAGUGGGGAAUUUUGGACAAUGGGCGCAAGCCUGAUCCAGCAAUGCCGCGUGCAGGAUG